AGCUGAAUAAAUUUAUACAGUCCUGCAAAAUGAUCCACAUGGGUAGAUCCUCACACCUGCAUAGACUCAUUCCAUCCACAUGAAACAGCUUGCAAUGCACUGGGCAAUAGAAGCCAGGAAUGAGAGAUUUGUGGGCUCAUUGCCUCACUGGGCAACUGAGAAAAAAAAUGGAAGAAAUUUUUGCCCACCAAUGAAAUGCAGCCACCUUUAUGAUGGAAUUUGGCAUCCAGGGGUUUUGACAAGACCUGCUGGAAAUACUUCAACAACAGGGGACAUGAUGAUUUUUUCAAGGCCAGUUUCCUGAGGGAUAGUGAACAACAAAUCAAGUUUGUUGGAGCAUUCAUGGAGCAGCUGCAGAUGGUGGAGCAUCUCUUCUUGGCCUGAGAAAUAAGCACUGACUAGUGGGAUUACAUGAUAAUUCAGAUUUGGGAUGAUGAGCAGUGGCUGCAAAACUUUCAGCUGCAAAAGCUCACAUUCCUGGAUCUGUUUUCCUAGCUCGCCCCAGCCCUCCAGCGCAUGGAUGCCAGAAUGAGAGAUGUAUUGACAGUGGAAAAGUGAGUGAUAAUCACAUUGUAGAAGGAGAGGAACUUGUGGAGGCCAGCUCCACACAGAAGGGAUGGGGGAAGGAGAAGGAGAAGGGUUGCGGGGGCAGCCCCACAUGGGAGGGAGAGAGAAGGAGAGGGGCUCCAGGGGGCAAAUCCUCGCAGGAGGGAGGGGAAAGGAGAGCAGCCUGGGGGGCCAGCUCCGUCUGGGGCGGGAGCGGGAGGUAUAUGCUCACCCUACCACAGCUCCGGCAUCUGGCCUGGCCAGGGGGUGGGGCCUCAGGGGGAAGAGGAGGAGCAGGGUGGUGGGGUGGGGGGGAGAGGAGUUCUGACCUGUGGGGGCCCCCCAAUUGGCCAGGGCCCUUGGGCACAGGCCCCGUGGGCCCAUACGGUAAUCCGCCACUGUGUACGGUGUUAUUAAGACAUGUUCCAAAGUCAGUUGGCAAACAGGUUUGUCUCAAACAAAGGAAUGUGUGCUCUGCUUAAUUUGUAUUUAAGCAAUAAACAGAGUCAUCAAGCAGGAAGGGAAACAAAAGAAAUUCAAACAGGUGAGAAAAAAGCAGCAGGGAACAUCCUUCCGCAUAGACUUUUUGUCUCCUGGUACCCAGCUGGAAAUGUUUUUCAAGCAGGGAACUGUGAUGGGGUGUCUGCCCCACACUGGGCCAUAAGGGGUUAACAGAGGCCUAGGGCAGCUGUGUGAAAAGCAGCCAAUAGGAAAGGGUCUGUGAGGAACAGCCAAUCAGGGCUGGGCAGGCCGAUAUAAGAAGAGCUGCAGGGCACUGGAGUUACCUGGAGCUUGAGGAGGGAGGAUCAGGUUCCUAGCAGGAGGAAGAAGUGCUAGCACCCUGGUCAGAGUAGUGCUGCUAGCAGGGACUGGGAAAGCUAGCGAGAACUCCUGGCUAGCUGCUAAGACUGGUUGGCUGAAGCCCUGAGGUAAGGGCAAAGAAGGUGCUGGGGGCUACGAGGAAGUGGCCCAGGGAAACGAACUGAGGAGGCAGAGAGGACACAGCAAGUGGCGGCCAUCUACAGGGUCCCUGGGCUGCGACCCGGAGUAGUGGAUGAGCCUGGGUCCCCCCACUCACCACUGAGGAAGUGGCUGGACUGUGAUACUGUCCCCCAGAAGCGGGGAGCACAGAGUGCGGCACAGUCGGAGGGUUGUGUCCUGAAGAGGAUGCUGUGGUCCCAGGAGCAGAAGUGACAGCAGCAAGACACCACCAGAAGAGGGUGCACUGGUUAGCAAAGCUAAUCCAUGGGACAGCCAGCAGGAGGUGCUGUAGUGGGGGGGACUGAAACUGUAAAACUGUAAAAAGGAAGGACAAACACCCCAAGGCACUCUUUUCUCUUUCCCCCCCACCCUCCCUUCCCAUCAAGUCACUGCACUUGAAGGGACAAAGUAAGCAGCUGUUGGACUGGGGGAAGGGUGCUUGGUCAGUAAGACUGCUGAAAGCAUGUGUUGAGAAAAUUUUGCUUUGAAUUUAACAUCAUUUGUUAAGUUAGGCACCAGUUGCACUUUAUCUUUAUUUUUCUUGUAACUAUUUCUGAUUUUUA